rnacentral:rRNA from 1 species
UGCAGUCGACGAUAGUGAGAAGCUUGCUUCUCACAAAAGUGGCGCACGGGUGCGUAACGCGUAUGCAACCUACCUUAAUCUGGGGGAUAGCCCGAAGAAAUUCGGAUUAACACCGCAUAACAACAUUGAAUAGCAUUAUUUAAUGUUCAAAUAUUUAUAGGAUUAAGAUGGGCAUGCGUGUCAUUAGCUAGUUGGCGGGGUAACGGCCCACCAAGGCGACGAUGACUAGGGGAUCUGAGAGGAUGACCCCCCACACUGGUACUGAGACACGGACCAGACUCCUACGGGAGGCAGCAGUAAGGAAUAUUGGUCAAUGGAGGCAACUCUGAACCAGCCAUGCCGCGUGCAGGAAGACAGCCCUCUGGGUCGUAAACUGCUUUUAUUCGGGAAUAAACCUAUUUACGUGUAGAUAGCUGAAUGUACCGAAGGAAUAAGGAUCGGCUAACUCCGUGCCAGCAGCCGCGGUAAUACGGAGGAUCCAAGCGUUAUCCGGAUUUAUUGGGUUUAAAGGGUGCGUAGGCGGCUUAUUAAGUCAGGGGUGAAAGACGGUGGCUCAACCAUCGCAGUGCCUUUGAUACUGAUGAGCUUGAAUACACUAGAGGUAGGCGGAAUGUGACAAGUAGCGGUGAAAUGCAUAGAUAUGUCACAGAACACCGAUUGCGAAGGCAGCUUACUAUGGUGUCAUUGACGCUGAGGCACGAAAGCGUGGGGAUCAAACAGGAUUAGAUACCCUGGUAGA